UCUCAAAUCCUCUCUCUUAUCCCUCACGUAUUUCUCUCUCUUAUCCCUCACGCCACCAUUAUCUCAUCUUUUCUCUCUCAAACCCUCUCUCUAUUCUCCCUCACGUCACUUUUCUCUACUCUUUUUUCUCUCAAAUCUUCUCUCUUUCUUCUCAGUUAUGUCAUUUUCUCUCCGUGAUCGCAAGCACACCCUAUCCUAUCUCGAC
rnacentral:lncRNA from 1 species